GCCAGGGUCGCAUAGCCCGGUAUUGCGGUGGCCUCGAAAGCCACUGGGAGAAAUCCCGCGGGGGUUCAAAUCCCUCCCCUGGCGCCA
rnacentral:tRNA from 1 species